rnacentral:rRNA from 1 species
UACGGAGGGAGCUAGCGUUGUUCGGAAUUACUGGGCGUAAAGCGCGCGUAGGCGGCUUUGUAAGUUAGAGGUGAAAGCCCGGGGCUCAACCCCGGAACUGCCUUUAAGACUGCAUCGCUUGAAUCCAGGAGAGGUGAGUGGAAUUCCGAGUGUAGAGGUGAAAUUCGUAGAUAUUCGGAAGGACACCAGUGGCGAAGGCGGCUCACUGGACUGGUAUUGACGCUGAGGUGCGAAAGCGUGGGGAGCAAACAGG